UACGUAGGGCGCAAGCGUUGUCCGGAAUUAUUGGGCGUAAAGAGCUCGUAGGCGGCUCGUCGCGUCGACCGUGAAAACCCGCGGCUUAACUGCGGGCUUGCGGUUGAUACGGGCGGGCUAGAGUUCGGUAGGGGAGACUGGAAUUCCUGGUGUAGCGGUGAAAUGCGCAGAUAUCAGGAGGAACACCGGUGGCGAAGGCGGGUCUCUGGGCCGAUACUGACGCUGAGGAGCGAAAGCGUGGGGAGCGAACAGG
rnacentral:rRNA from 1 species